GGGGUUGUAGCUCAGUGGCGUAGCACUUGCCUUGCGUGCAUGAGGCCCUGGGUUCGGUCCCCAGCACUACA
rnacentral:tRNA from 1 species